rnacentral:lncRNA from 1 species
UCUUAAAGAAAACAAAAAAAAUCACAUAUGGUCUUCUUGCAAUGAGAAUCCCCCUUCUUGCACGAGAGGGAACAAACCCUAAUAUUUUUUUUUAACCAAUCACAGCCUUCUAAACUCGGUGGAUAAUGGGCCCGCCCCUCUACCCUUCUUCACUUAAAUACCGGGCAUCGCUUUGCAUGGUGUGGGGCAAGAACCUGCGACCUAAGCAACAAACCCUAAUAUUAUUUAUAUUAUAUGGAACACAUAAUCAUCAAAUACUUGAAUAUAGAUGAGGGAACACAUAGCAUCAAACAAAAAGGAAAUAACAAUCUAUACAUGUUUAUAAGUUAUAUAAACAUGAAAUAAAAUUAUCAAUCUAACAAUCUAGGAUCUCUUUAAAUGCGAAAAGAAAGUUCUCAAACAAAAAGUUUACACAAGAUUCCUAGAUAUAUGACUUCUACGAUGGAAAUGAGAAAUCUAUGUACAUACGAGUUCACUAGACAACUCUUAAAAAAACAAAAAAAAUCACAUAUUGUCUUGCAAUGAGAAUCCCCCUUCUUGCAUGAGAGGGAACAAACCCUAAUAUUUAUAUAAUCAUCAAAUACUUGAAUACAGACUGGAGCACAUAGCAUCAAACAAAAAGGAAAUGACAAUCUAAACAUGACUUAUAAGUUUGUCCAUAUUUUUUAACAUAAUCAUCAAAUACUUGAAUACAGAUGUCCCUGGAACACAUAGCAUCAAACAAAAAGGAAAUAACAAUCUAUAGACUUAUAAGUCAUAAACAUGAAAUAAAAUUAUCAAUCUAACAAUCUGGGAUCUUCUUUAAAUGCGAAAAGAAAGUUCUCAAACAAAAAGUUUACUGUAGAUUCCUAGAUAUAUGACUUCUACGAUGGAAAUGAGCAAAUUAUGAAUAUCAUAUUCACAAAUAUUCUCACACAAUCAAUAAGUUUACAUGGAGAAAUGGUGAAGACUUAGAGGACCAGCUUACUAGAGACCUUACAUACAUAACAAAUAGGUUUCAGUAAAGUUUUCUAAUAAACAUGAAUUCUUCAAGACAACUUUCCUUCUUGUGAUUUUCUAAUUAAAACAUAUAGGAUAAUGACUACUAACAAGGAUUCUAAGAAAAGACUUUCUAUUAUUUGGACGCAACCCUUGAAGAAAAUUUGAACAUUAAUGUUCAAAUUCACUCAAUUAUAAUUGAAGAAGAAAACUCUUAUGUACAUUAUUUCAACUUCAAAUAAAUCAACAGUGAACCAAACUCUUCAAGCAAAAAAACAUACUGAUAUUAAAUAAGAAAUCAAAGCGGGAGAGCAUUGCCAAAACAGAUUUCAGAAACAAAAAGUUAUUUCAACAUUUGCAAAUUUUGAUCACGCAUUUACAAGUGAAUGAAUAAAUAAUUUUCCCCUUAAAACUUCCAACCUUAAAUUAAUCAUUUUACGUACUAAAAAUUGUAACGUAACAAAUACUUAGAUCAGAAUGUUACCAAUCGAUAUAACGUUCAAACAAAUAUUUUUACUGAGGCAAUGUAUGUCGAGCCUCAAAUCCACUUUUCCAAGGUGUUUGGUUAAUGAAUAUGAGAUUCAUUGUAAGAUCUCAUUCUUGUCUUGUUCUUCUCUCUCUUUUACAUAGUUAUCCAAUUCAUAAACUUUUCCAGUAACAAUAUCAGUUAAUUAUCCAUUUUCCAAGGUGUUUGGUUCAUGAAUAAUAUGUGAUUCAAAGGACAAAAAAAUUACACUACAGUAUUAUACUUAUAUGCAUAUUUAGGCAUUUGACGAUAUUAGAUGUGGAAACUGUCAAAAAAUUGCAGAUCACAGAGUUAUUGUGCAUUUCCCUAUAUAUGAUAACGUCAGUGACCAACUGAAGUUCACCAGUACUGUAAAGGUUGUUACUGGAUCUGGACAAACUUUCAAAUCAUGAAACAAUAGCUAUUACAACUUGACAAAAUUCUAAAAAAAGAGCAUCCCGGUGCACAAAGUAGCUUAUGUUUACGUACUAUUAUUUUUACAAUAAGAUAUUAUACACAAAAUACCAAAACAUGCCCCCAAGGCCUAGCUCAAGUGGCAAAAGGUGGAGGAUUUGUGACUUAGGUCGCAGGUUCAAGCCCCACACCAUGCAAAGCGAAGCCCGGUAUUUAAGUGGAGAAGGGUAGAGGGGCGGGCCCAUUAUCCACCGAGUUUGGAAGGCUGUGAUUGGUCCAAAGGGCGAGUCACAGACGGAUUUCUCGGUUAUCAAAAAAAAAAAAAAAAAAUAAAAAAAAAAUAGCAAACAUAGUUAGCAAGACCCUACCUAGUUAACUACACAUGUACACACGAUAUCUCAAUCAAAAAAAUGCUUAAAGAAGAAGAAAAGACAGUCAACUUAGUUUCAAAAUAACAUCAAACUUGAGAAAAGACAUUCCUUUCUGCAGCAACACACCAGUGUUUCGGUGUUUGUAUACUGGUUCUUCGGAAGGUUCUGAAUAUAGAAGCUUAUUUCAUGAACUUGGUUACAGAGUUGGUUUAUGAAAAGUUGAAACAACAGAAAAAAUAUCAAGUCAACUAGAACCAAAUGAAGGCGAAAGGCGAUUUCUCCGCAAUGGGUAUCUAUCAUGUUCUUCAACCAUAUUGUUGAUGGGUCAGCCUGAAAUGAGCUAAUUGUGAUUUCCUAUGAGUUCUCCACACUCAUUAUCUUUUGGCCGAUUAGUUACAUGUAAUAUGAGUCAGUUAUGCUUAUUUGGCCGAUUGGGGUUUCUAAUGGCAAGCUUCGUGACUAUCAGUCAUCCAAUCCCACCCAUUGUUUAUCCUUCUAUUUCUACAUUAUAAUUAGCUCCAAAAAAAUUGCCUCGCUAUUUUAAAUUUAAAAUUUUUAUAGUGAUUGUGCCUACAAAAAAAUCACGAGAGAUUACAUUUCUACAAAUCAUGAGAGAAUUUAAAAUUUUCAUAGUCACGGAUAGUGAUUGUGCCUACAAAAAAAUCACGAGAGAUUACAUUUCUACAAAUCAUGAGAGAAUUUAAAAUUUUCAUAGUCAGGGUACCUACAAAUGCACUCAAAUGUCACAACUUGCUUAUACAUAACAAGUCUGGAGGGAUUUUUUUUUUGAAACUACAAGGUAACAUUUCGACUAAGGAACAUAUCCAAUUGUACCAAAGUGCAAAAGAAUGUGUUGUGCAAUCAAGUGAAGGUCAUGAAAGCUCUGUGCAUGGAGUGGUCAUAUGUCAAACGAAUGAAGUUGAUUCAAGGGUCUAAGCUAUGCAAAAUUGCAGUUUAUAUUGCUAUUUUCAUCUUUGUGGCUGGUGUUUUUCUUAUCUUUUCCAGAAAGCAAAGAGAUAGGACUUUUCAUCUUUGUGGGUGGUGAUUUUCUUAUCUUUUCCAGAAAGCAAAGAGAUAAGACUAUGUUCUCUAAGUAAGAGCAGCUAAAGAGUAGUAAUAGAGACAUCCAUGUAACAAUUGAUUACUUGAAGCAAACUACUGCAAAAUAAAAAAAUGUACAUCAGGCAUCAAAUGACAACUUGAAUAAACUUCAAUAGAUGUAUCCGAGGACAAGUUUUGGGGUGUCUGACCCUAGAGAUGCUCAAGCUAAUUGCUUGUGGUACUAGUUGUCUAUUGCAGUCACUAGACUUAAUUUUAUGUUCUCUUCCCCUCCUCCUAAAUUGUGUUACUUUUUUUGUUAGAUUUUCAUCCUCUUUUGUGGACUUUAUUUUGGUAUAGCUCAUCUUCACACUAUUAGAAGUACAAAAUGAAAGUUGCAUAGCAAGUUGUAUAAUUGUCAACUGAAAAUACUAACUAACAAGGUUGCAAAUGAUACCAAGAAAGUCAUAAAGCAAUAAAAAAGACAAUGAUUAGGUCAUAAUGACUUUCUAACAUAUAGGUUCAAGUUUCACUUAAUUUGAUGGUAAACCAAAUACUGAACUUAAAACAGAAAGAACAACGAAGAAGAAAAAAGAACAUUAAGAUGGACUAAAUUGAACUAAAUAUAGAAAAAAUUAACUAUAGCAAUAUAAAUAUUAUCUAAUCUAGAUUUUGUUCCCUGAAAUGAGUAACAUAUGAGGCUAAUAAAAUUACAGCCACAAUUCACAAAUACUCUAAAUCAAAAAUCAUGUAACACCCCAUUAUGUAAACAAGCUCAAAAAUCUGACCUAGAAUACUUACUUCUGGAAUUUUUUGAAAGGAAGAAAACUUACCAAGAGCAACUAUUUCGAACUCUGUUAAGAAAAUCUUGAAGAAAGUAUACAGAUGGCUAGCAAACAAUAAACUUCAAACUCGAAUCUGCCACUUCCACAAAAAAAUCAUGAAAAAUGUUGAGAGAUAACCAAAAAUCUAACAAGAAUCUCUUUACGCAUUCAUGACAAAAUAAUCAGCCAACCAGAAUAAAUGAAUGAAUGAAUCCUAGCAACAUAUAAAGUGAGCUAACAAUUUCAUACUACGAGAUGACCCCAAAUGAUGAAAUGGAGGUUUUAAAUUUCCCAAGAUGCAUUUCUUCAAAGCAAAUUUCAACAACCAGAUGCUUAAAUUGAACAACCAGUAGAGUAAUUUCAACGAGGCAAAGUAACGACACAUGAAAGCAUUACACCAACUUCCAAACAUCAAGAAAACUUGAGAGAAGUAGUCUUAUCUUAAAAAAAAUACAGAUAACACUAGCAGAAAACAAAGCAGGCAGCAAACUGGAGAAGCAAGAGCAUUCAAAGUGCUUAACAUAUUAAACAAAUUCCGAACCUGGUAACAGGAAAAAAAUAUAGUAUUUAGAGAAGAUAACACCAUUAUUCAACCCAGCGAAAACAACAUUCGACGAAGAAGAGCAACCAAAACGAGAUGAGGAUGAGGUUGUUACCUGCAACGAACUCUAGAAAUCGAUUUCCAAACCAGCAGACUCAGAAAGCUUCAGCUCCUAACUUUUGGAUAUCUAAAUCUAUAUAUCCUUCUCUGUAUAUUUUCUGCCUCUCCAACGUCUAUAUAUUUUUCCCAGGCAAAGAGGAGGUUUAUAUAGGAGGACUGAAUUGGGAUGAAAUGAUUGAAAGCUGGAAUUGUAACGGGAAAGAGAGGAGAGUCGUCCGAUUCCUUGGUGAAGGACGAAGGAGAUGCAAGAUUGGAAAGUUCAACAACGGUCAUUGUACGGAGAUGGAUUGUCGCGAUUCGGGUCACCUUCUUCGCGUGAAGAAGAAAGGGUUUCUUUGGUAUUAUGGAGUGGGCUGCUCAAUUGUUU